rnacentral:rRNA from 1 species
GGGACAAUGGGCGCAAGCCUGAUCCAGCAUGCCGCGUGAGUGAUGAAGCUUCGGGUGUAAAGCUCUUUAGCCGACGAUUAUAAUGACUGUAGUCGGAGAAUAAGCCCCGGCUAACUUCGUGCCAGCAGCCGCGGUAAUACGAAGGGGGCGAGCGUUAUUCGGAAUCACUGGGCGUAAAGCGUGCGUAGGCGGUUUUUUAAGUCAGAAGUGAAAGCCCAGGGCUCAACCCUGGAAUUGCUUUUGAAACUGGAAGACUUGAAUUCGGGAGAGGAUAGCGGAAUUCUCAGUGUAGCAGUGAAAUGCGUAGAUAUUGAGAGGAACACCGGUGGCGUAAGCGGCUAUCUGGACCGACAUUGACGCUGAGGCACGAAAGCGUGGGGAUCAAACAGGAUUAGAUACCCUGGUAGUCCACGCCGUAAACGAUGUGUGCUUGUCGCUGGGAAGUUUACUUUUCGGUGACGUAGUUAACGCGUUAAGCACACCGCCUGGGAAGUACGGCCGCAAGGUUAAAACUCAAAGGAAUUGACGGGGACCCGCACAAGCGGUGGAGUAUGUGGUUUAAUUCGUCGCAACGCGAAGAACCUUACCAGGCCUUGACAUACCGAUUAAGAGAAGCAGAGAUGCAUCUCGUCAGUUCGGCUGGAUCGGAUACAGGUGCUGCAUGGCUGUCGUCAGCUCGUGUCGUGAGAUGUUGGGUUAAGUCCCGCAACGAGCGCAACCCCUUUUGCCAGUUGCCAUCAGGUAACGCUGGGAACUCUGGCGAUACUGCCGGUGAUAAGCCGGAGGAAGGCGGGGAUGACGUCAAGUCCUCAUGGCCCUUACGGCCUGGGCUACACACGUACUACAAUGGUGGUGACAGUGGGCCGCUAGGUAGCGAUACCAAGCAAAUCCCUAAAAGCCACCUCAGUUCAGAUUGUACUCUGCAACUCGAGUACAUGAAGUUGGAGUCGCUAGUAAUCGUGGAUCAGAAUGCCACGGUGAAUACGUUCCCGGGUCUUGUACACACCGCCCGUCAAGUGAUGGGAGUUGGUUUCACCCGAAGGCGGGGCGCUAACCGUAAGGAAGCAGCCGACCACGGUGGGAUCAGCGACUGGCACUAAGUCGUAACAAGGUAGCCGAAUCUCUGAAGAUCGCGCUCCAGGC